UUGCGUCCCAUUAGCUAGUUGGUGAGGUAACGGCCCACCAAGGCAAUGAUGGGUAGCCGGCCUGAGAGGGUGAACGGCCACAAGGGGACUGAGACACGGCCCUUACUCCUACGGGAGGCAGCAGUGGGGAAUAUUGGACAAUGGACCACAAGUCUGAUCCAGCAAUUCUGUGUGCACGAUGACGUUUUUCGGAAUGUAAAGUGCUUUCAGUCGGGAAGAAGUCAGUGACGGUACCGACAGAAGAAGCGACGGCUAAAUACGUGCCAGCAGCCGCGGUAAUACGUAUGUCGCAAGCGUUAUCCGGAUUUAUUGGGCGUAAAGCGCGUCUAGGCGGCAAGGAAAGUCUGAUGUGAAAAUGCGGAGCUCAACUCCGUAUGGCGUUGGAAACUGCCUUACUAGAGUACUGGAGAGGUAGGCGGAACUACAAGUGUAGAGGUGAAAUUCGUAGAUAUUUGUAGGAAUGCCGAUGGGGAAGCCAGCCUACUGGACAGA
rnacentral:rRNA from 1 species